CAGCCGCCACGGUAAAACGGAGGGGGCAAGCGUUAUCCGGAAUUAUUGGGCGUAAAGGGUACGUAGGUGGCCUUUUAAGCGUAGGGUAUAAGGCAAUGGCUCAACCAUUGUUCGCCCUAUGAACUGGAAGGCUUGAGUGCAGGAGAGGAAAGCGGAAUUCCUAGUGUAGCGGUGGAAUGCAUAGAUAUUAGGAGGAACAUCAGCGGCGAAGGCGGCUUUCUGGACUGCAACUGACACUGAGAGACGAAAGCUAGGGGAGCAAAUGGGAUUAGAUACCCGCGUAGUCCCUGUCUCUUAUACA
rnacentral:rRNA from 1 species